GCNNGGUUACGAANUUCGCCCCUUAGAGUUUGAUCAUGGACUCAGGAUGAACGCUAGCGGCAGGCUUAACACAUGCAAGUCGAGGGGCAGCAUGUCCAGCAAUGGAUGAUGGCGACCGGCGGAAGGGUGCGUAACGCGUGAGCAACAUGCCCUAUACAGGGAGAUACACCAGGGAAACUUGGUCUAAUAUCCCAUAGCAUUCAUUGAAGGCAUCUUUAAUGAAUUAAAGCUUCGGUGGUAUAGGAUUGGCUCGCGUGACAUUAGCCAGAUGGUGAGGUAACGGCUCACCAUAGCAAUGAUGUCUAGGGGUUUUGAGAGGAAGGCCCCCCACACUGGGACUGAGACACGGCCCAGACUCCUACGGGAGGCAGCAGUGAGGAAUAUUGGACAAUGGAUGGAAAUCUGAUCCAGCCAUGCCGCGUGCAGGAAGACGGCCUUAUGGGUUGUAAACUGCUUUUAUACGGGAGCAAUAAGGGUUACGAGUAAUCCGAUGAGAGUACUGUAUGAAUAAGGAUCGGCUAACUCCGUGCCAGCAGCCGCGGUAAUACGGAGGAUCCGAGCGUUAUCCGGAAUUAUUGGGUUUAAAGGGUGCGUAGGCGGCCAUUUAAGUCAGCGGUGAAAUUUUGCAGCUUAACUGUAACAGUGCCGUUGAUACUGUUUGGCUAGGAUUUGGUUGUAGUGUGCGGAAUGUGUGGUGUAGCGGUGAAAUGCUUAGAUAUCACACAGAACACCGAUUGCGAAGGCAGCACACUAAGUCAUUAUUGACGCUGAGGCACGAAAGUGUGGGGAUCAAACAGGAUUAGAUACCCUGGUAGUCCACACUGUAAACGAUGAUAACUCGCUGUCGGCG
rnacentral:rRNA from 1 species